rnacentral:rRNA from 2 species
GGAAAGAUGAAAAGCACUUUGAAAAGAGGGUAAAAAGAACCUGAAACCGUUACGGGGGAAGCGGAUUGCGUUAGCCUGGUGGCUACCUGUGUGUUCAGCCUUUAUGGUGCAUUGAUGCAGGUGGUUAUCUGUCGUGGCUUUUUGGCGACUGAUAUUGAGUUGCUAAAGGGUGAGGGCUCCCCUUUUGGGUGAGGACGACGGAGUGAUGACGCGAUACGACCCGUCUUGAAACACGGACCAAGGAGUCUAGCGCGGGUGCGAGUCAAAGGGUUGUAAACCCGUGGGCGAAGUGAAAGCAAGUUUUUUACAAAACGAGCAGUUUGGGGCGGCAUAGAAUCGCUGAUUCUAGGUCUGACCUUGAGCAGUUGCGCUGGGACCCGAAAGAUGGUGAACUAUGCCGGAGUAGGGCGAAGCCAGAAGAAAUUCUGGUGGAGGCUCGUAGCGGUGCUGACGUGCAAAUCGCUCGUCGAACUUGGGUAUAGGGGCGAAAGACUAAUCGAACCAUCUAGUAGCUGGUUUCCUCCGAAGUUUCUCUCAGGAUAGCAGGCCGACACGCGUUGUUUUGUGCGGUAAAGCGAAUGAUUAGCGCAUUCGGGGGCGUUUAGCCUUCGGGCGAUUCUCAAACUUUAAAUGCGCAAGGGUACCGGUGCUUUGUUGAGCGGUACCGUUAAAAACGUCGGCCUUGUGGGCCACUUUUGGUAAGCAGAACUGGCGAUACGGGAUGAACCGUAAGCAUGGUUAAGGUGCCAAACUGCCCGCUUAUAGAUCCCACAAAAGGUGUUGAUUCAUCGAGACAGCAGGACGGUGGCCAUGGA